GAGAAGGGAAAUAGCCCAGUGGUGUAGAACAUCUGCUUUGCAUGCAGAAGGUCCUAGGUUCAAUUUCUGGCCUCUUCA